ACGGCAAUAUAAAGUGGAAACAUUGGUUCUCAUACGAUCACCGAAGUUAAGCAACAUCGAGACUGGUUAGUAAUCAGAUGGAUGACCUCUUGAGAAUAUCAGGUGCUGUAAG